AUUGAACGCUGGCGGCAGGCCUAACACAUGCAAGUCGAGCGGAUGAAGGGAGCUUGCUCCUGGAUUCAGCGGCGGACGGGUGAGUAAUGCCUAGGAAUCUGCCUGGUAGUGGGGGAUAACGUCCGGAAACGGGCGCUAAUACCGCAUACGUCCUGAGGGAGAAAGUGGGGGAUCUUCGGACCUCACGCUAUCAGAUGAGCCUAGGUCGGAUUAGCUAGUUGGUGGGGUAAAGGCCUACCAAGGCGACGAUCCGUAACUGGUCUGAGAGGAUGAUCAGUCACACUGGAACUUAGACACGGUCCAGACUCCUACGGGAGGCAGCAGUGGGGAAUAUUGGACAAUGGGCGAAAGCCUGAUCCAGCCAUGCCGCGUGUGUGAAGAAGGUCUUCGGAUUGUAAAGCACUUUAAGUUGGGAGGAGGGGCAGUAAGUUAAUACCUUGCUGUUUUGACGUUACCAACAGAAUAAGCACCGGCUAACUUCGUG
rnacentral:rRNA from 1 species